rnacentral:lncRNA from 1 species
UUGCCCCAGAUGUUCCACUUCCCUGAGGAAGAGAAAAAGAACAGGCAGGCUAGAAGGGGUUGAAGUGAUAGAAAUCACAUGCUUGAAUCCACACAGAUCCCUCCCUGUCUGCUUUGUUGUGCAUCCUCAGCACUUAUUGAUUGGGGGAGGGGAAAUACCAGCAAAUGCCCUCCCUGAUCAGCUGUCCAUAAUAUACUGUAAGGACACUGGCAGAAAGAAUUUGCAAGUGGUGUACAGGAAGGAUCUGAGCUGGUACAUGUUUUAAGAAGAAAUACCUUCUCUACAGUCAGAUAAGUUCAUCUGAGGAGAUGGAACCAGGUUGAUCAUUGACCAGUUCUGGGCCUGCAGAGCUACAGAGGACAGGAAUGACGUCAAGUGCAGAGCAAAUAAAAGGUUGCUCUGACCUGCACUGUGGCAACUGGCAGCUGGAGGCUGCCUAAACAAGGCCAUUCUAUGGGACCCUCCCCACCCCCAAAUGAGUCAUAACUCAGCAAAUAAGAGGACUGCUGUCUUGGAACAUAUGGGCAGGCUUGCCUAGCUUGUUACUGUUAAUUUGCUGUCACACAACUUUCCCUCCAAACAAAUUCAGAAUGCUUAAUUUUGCUAUUUCAAUAUCAUUGCCAUUUUCAUCUCUCUCUCUCUCUCUCUCUCUCUCUCUCUCUCUCUCUCUCUGUUUCUGGAUCCAGAGCAUCAAAUGUACCUUUUUUGCUUCUCUCUGAGGUUGGAGGUCCAACCAAGUGGUGGUGGGGCAGUACUCCCAUACUGUGGCCCGAGCUUUGUCAAAGACCUGAAGAAGGAGGUCCUCUCUUUGAUGUCAACCCUUGAUGGGUAUGGGAAUUAGUGUGGGAUUUUUUUUUUCAGCAGCAGCCAGUGAGAGACAGGAGGGCAUUUCCCACUGAGGUUCCUGGAACAUCUGGUGAGGACUCCUGUAGGCAAAGAUUCUCUGCACAUUGAUUAGGGCCCCUCUUGUUUCCAACACUUUCCACUCUUACCAGGUGUGACUCGGUCUUUGUUGUGUUUUUCCGAACUGACAGAGAUGCAAGACAUAGAGUGAGACCAGAACCAAGCCACAGGCCUUUCGGAGGUAACCUAUGGUCACCUGAUCUCUCUCACACUCGUAUACACCAGGGGUGGGAGAGCAGUAGAAUAUCUGAGUGUUGCUAUUCUUAAUGUUCAUCCCAAUAUGUUUGAG